CCUACGGGAGGCAGCAGUAAGGAAUAUUGGUCAAUGGAGGCAACUCUGAACCAGCCAUGCCGCGUGCAGGAAGAAGGCCCUAUGGGUCGUAAACUGCUUUUGUACCAGAGAAAACCCGAGUACGUGUACUCGGUUGAUAGUAUGGUAAGAAUAAGCAUCGGCUAACUUCGUGCCAGCAGCCGCGGUAAGACGAAGGAUGCAAGCGUUAUCCGGAUUCAUUGGGUUUAAAGGGUGCGUAGGCGGACUGAUAAGUCAGUGGUGAAAUCUCUCGGCUUAACCGAGAAACUGCCAUUGAUACUGUUAGUCUAGAGUAUAGAUGACGUUGGCGGAAUAUGACAUGUAGUGGUGAAAUACUUAGAUAUGUCAUAGAACACCGAUUGCGAAGGCAGCUAACGAAACUAUAACUGACGCUGAGGCACGAAAGUGCGGGGAUCAAACAGGAUUAGAUACCCUGGUAGUCCGCACCGUAAACGAUGAUUACUCGUUGUUGGCAAUAUGACCGUCAGCGACCAAGCGAAAGCGAUAAGUAAUCCACCUGGGGAGUACGCCGGCACGGUGAAACCUUAAAUGAAUUGACGGCUGAGAGNGCGACGGACGACGACGAGGGAGAGG
rnacentral:rRNA from 1 species